rfam:Acanthisitta chloris contig31756, whole genome shotgun sequence.
AUACUUACCUGGCAGGGGAGACACCAUGAUCAGGCAGGUGGGUUUCCCAGGGAGAGGCUCAUCCCUUGCACUCCGGGUGUGCUGACCCCUGCGAUUUCCCCAAAUGCGGGAAACUCGACUGCAUAAUUUGUGGUAGUGGGGGACUGCGUUCGCGCUCUCCCCUG